GAUGAACGCUGGCGGCGUGCCUAACACAUGCAAGUCGAACGGGGUAUAUAAGCGGAAGUUUACGGAUGGAAGGUUAUAUACUUAGUGGCGGACGGGUGAGUAACGCGUGGGCAACCUGCCCCGUGCCGGGGGAUACCGCCUGGAAACAGGCGCUAAUACCGCAUAAGCGCAUACAGCCGCAUGGGUGUAUGCGGAAAGCUCCGGCGGCACGGGAUGGGCCCGCGCCCGAUUAGCCAGUUGGCGGGGUAACGGCCCACCAAAGCGACGAUCGGUAGCCGGCCUGAGAGGGCGGACGGCCACAUUGGGACUGAGACACGGCCCAA
rnacentral:rRNA from 1 species